GCGGCGAGCAGCAGAGGGUUGAGGGAGAACUGGAGAAGGGGAUCCCAAUUAGGCCUGUCGCACCGGGCAGGUCCUCCAGCUUCCCAGCAGCCGCCUCCUCCCCCAGUUGGCCAGAUCAAAUUGAAUAACGUGAACUGUUGGAUGCCGAGGCCUAGAUCAUUUUUGCUGCAUCACUGGCACAACAUCCGUGCUCUGCUUCCAAGCUCGCCAAUUUCGACACUGAAGUCUGCAACAUCGAUGAUGAACUACCAGGUCACGUCUACCUACAACAGUGGAGCACGGCCUCGAAAGAAACCUCGGUCGCUAUUAAGUUGACAUCAACUUAUAGCUUGCAACACGUUCCAGUGGCCAGGGAAUGGCUGUAUACGAUGUGUUUGACUUUGAUCCAUAGCUUUCAGUAAAUCAAAUGAAGAACAUGCCAUGACACUUGAUUUUCAGUAAGAACUAAGAACUAAGCUGAGUACUGACACCAAUAUUUCCUUGCUUGCUUAUGAUGGAUUUGCUAUGCUCUGCUAUAGUGCCAUUGUUUUGAUUCUUGGAUUCUUGAUGUGAGCCUAGACCAAAUGUUCCUCCACCUUCGGCUGAAUCAUUUAUUCUUACAAAAGAAGGUAAUCAUAGAAGCUCUUUAAUAUUAAUGGAAGCUUGAUGAAAAAUUAUGUUAUGUAUUUUAAACUCUUGAAAUGUCAAUGCUAUUUUUAGGUCCUACUGAAGUUAUGGGUUAACUCAAGCACCACAAAAUCAUAAUACCAUUGUCUUGCAUGGUCAAGAACUGAUGACCUUGAGGACCAACAGCAUCAGUCGUAGUAAUCAUCCUAAAGCGACUGUUCAUAAGCCUAUGAUGUGGUCACCAGCCCCCAACAUUUAAUAGAAUAAUGCGCUAAUGUCUAACUAGAGGUCCUCUAUGGAUGAUUGGAUGCAGCCGGGAAUACCUGAAACUGAGUUUAAGGAUGUCAAUUCUGUUAAUCAUUAAUCUUUUGGUGAUUGCCUGGGCUAUUUUAUGUAGACCUUUGAUGGGGCCGCUAACUGUCUUAGUUCAUUCAAAACCCAGUUCUAGGUUGAUGCGAGCAAAAGAAUUAUUCAAGUACUUGAGUUAUCGAGAACAGUUGAUUCGUGAACUGGCAGGUCUUAUUUUAUUGUAAGUAGUGUCAAAACUUUCUGGGAGGUUAUGUAGUUGAUGCUUUGGCGUGUAUGUCUAAAUAAAUGGCUCCUGAGUUGAGGAAUAUAUUGAUUUUUUCUGCAGUAUCAAUAUUGUUUUUCUGCAUCACAAAAAGCUCUUUUUAUCUUAGUGGAAACUUCAUGAAAAAUACAUAGCUAGCCUGGCUCUCGGCGCAGCGGCUGGUUGGUCAUCUCUGUGUGCCCGGCUUGCUGGCCCUGCGGGAUACCCUGACCGACGCCCCACUAGCACGGGUAGAGAGGCUAGGUAUUUUUUUACCUAAGUCGGCGCAUCGGCGGUUGCAUCGAGGACCCUCCGUGUCAGUUCGUGGGAUACCCACACUACGUCGCGUGCCAUCUUCGGCAUGCUGUUUUGUGCCAUGGGCUUGACCAGGAGGCAUCUGGUGCAGACUAGGCUGAGCAAGUAUCAGUUUUAUGGAAUUCUUUUUCCAAGGUAUGCCAAUUUUGUUUCCAUUAAGAACCAUCCGUUGCCCCUACUAUGCUUGAGACACCUUAUGAUAUUUAUGUGAACUACUGUAGUGUCUACAUAUUUUCAAAUAACUUGCCAAUUUGAUCAGCAGUUCAGACUCGGGGUGCUUUAUUGCAUUCAAAGGAUGUUUGAGGAAAAGUUAUGUCCGCAGGAUGUAUAUAAUAGCUCUAGGUGCCAGUGGCCAAAUGCAGCAACAUAGCCAAGGUUAUUUUCAUGCCAAAGCGCUAGACGUUGACGGCCUACAGUCUGCUACACAUAGCACACAAGAAGAUAAAGAGUUGUGCCUUCCCGACACCGUUUAGUUCUUCCUUUGAAGGUACAACAUCCGGGUCAAUAUAGUGAACUGUGUCCAUAAAUCCUUCGGCUCUGAUCUGGCACUACGGUGAAUAAAUACUCCACAGACCAUGGCACCCAAAGCAGCGGAGAAAAGCUGCACUGCUCACCGUUAUGUAAGUAUCAUUGCAUUCAACGCUCCACUCUGCCUACCGAACUGCUGCGUUUCGUUGGUUUCUACCCGUUGUUGUUGCACAUGCAAGCACGCCGGCCGUGUAUCAAAGCCGAUGCAAGAUCUGCAGCAUUUAUGCACCUAGCAAAGAAAGCCCCAGAUAUGGGGCGACCAGCGUCCCUCCUGGCUUCUCCCCUUCGGAUCGGCUUGCCAAACAAAAAGGGGAAAAGGCCCAUGGAAGACAGGGUUGACAACACAUCCCAAGGGCACAGCUAGGAGGCAAGGUAGGCCUCCAGUGGUCCGAUUUUUGCCAGAUAUCCAGCUACACCGCUGCUUCAAGAGAGGUAUCACCUAACAUCCUCACGACCUGGUAGAGAUACCAUCAGCAUUUGAGCAGCACAUCCUCGACAGAAUGGAGGGGCACGAUCUACAUCGACCAUGGGUAGUCUAAUUUUGCUGAACAUCAUAGCUACAAUGACAGUCUGUCGGCAACAAUGGUGAGGAAAAGAGAUCAGCCACAUUUUAUAAGCUGCUUCAUGGAGUCAGUAGAGUGUUAGUAUAUUAGCCAUCACCGAGCUAUUCGUUUUUUCUUCUGCUUUUGCUUACUGGGUCACACUUUUUUUGCUGAACCACCUGUUUAACAGCAUGAUGUUCUUAAUUGUUUUAAUUAUAUAUCAUUGACUAUAGUGACACUACUAAGACCCGUAAGUAUGUUGAUCAGACUAUCUUGGCCUACUAUGCUCAUUAUAUGGAUUA